UGUGGCUAUGAAAAGUAAACCAAAAGUGACUUUUCCAACUUCAAUUAUCAAAAUUCAAAAAGGACUUCCACACCAUUAUUGAUUAGAAUUUGAAGCUAUAGCAUACCAACAAAACAACACACUGAGUAAACAUUGAUCUCUGCACCAGUGUGAUUAUGGGUCCUUGUGCUUCCAUUUCUCAUAUGUCUAUUAUUUUCCACUACCUUCACCACAUGCAACAUUGCUGCAUGUUUGACAACUCCACUAAAUUAUAAACCAACAUUUUCCCUACACUUUCUGGGUCCAAAGCAAAACAAUGUACUAAUUU
rnacentral:lncRNA from 1 species